AUUUUUUUUGCUGAGCAUGGAUAGGAUUGAAAACAGUUGUAGAGCACUAGGUUUAAGUUAACACUGUCUAACUAAGAUAGAUAGCUAAAGCUUACUGACUUGGAUGCAGUUUGACAAUUGUGUCUCUGGGAGACCAGGUUAACAGGAUAAAAUGCAACUUCAUAGUGUUAUCAAUUUACUAUGCACAAUUAAUUGAAUAUUGAUCUCGAUUACGAUUUUGACUGCCCACGAUAACAUGAACAUAAUCAACUGCGAUAUUGACAUUUAAAGUUCGUCCUCCACUCAUAGAAAACUCCACUGCAUAUCAAAUUAACUUAUAGCACUUAUAGCCAGUCACCACUGGGUGAUUUGGCUGUGCGCGAACCCUCCAGCUACAGCAUGUGCAAAAAUUUCCCUUAUAUUGCGGCUGCAGUCCAGAGUAGAAGAGUAUACAAUAGAGAGCAGACAGACAAACCAAAAAUGUCUGGAGCAGAAGGCAAAGUGCUAGUCCCUAGGAACGGAUCAUCAUCUGUUGUUUGGAAUUAUUUUGGAUUUAGAGAAAGUGAUGUUAAGCAAAACAAAUCAUAUGCACACAGUGCUUUAGAAUUGUUUCUGUACUGGGCAGCAACACAACUGACUUGUUCAACCACCUGAAAAAACAUCACAAACUGCAGUACGAUGAAUGUAUGAAGGGCAAGUAGAAUAACGUCGCUAACGUUAGCUCACUGAUCCCUGUCCUUCACCAGUGUCAACUCAGACAUACAAAACAGCGACGCUGUACAGCGCAUCACUUUAUCCAUCCAACUCCCAAAGACAGACUGAAAUAAUGGAUGCAAUCGCAUUCCAUUUGGCCAAAGAUAUGUGUCCAAAAAACACUGUGAGCAGUGAAGGUUUCAGGAAAAUGGCCAACAUACUGGACAAAAGAUAUGUGAUCCCCUCACACAAUUAUUUUUCUAAAGUAGCAUUACCUGCACUGUAUGCAAAAUGUCGAGGGGAAAUAGAGAGGGAUGUUACAGCUGUCAAGUACUUUGUGACUACCACUGAGAACAAUGGAGCCAUACAUGAGCCUGACAAUCCAUUAGAUUGACAGUGAUUUUACAGCGAAGAGUCGAUUUUUGCUAACGUAAUUUUUCCCACAAGACUACACAGGAGAGUCAAUUGCCCAGGGACUCAGGGAAGUGAUGGCCUCUUGGAGCUUGCAGGAGGAGAGACUUGUCUGCAUUACAAUGAAAUGUUGUGAAGGCAGCUUCUCUGAAUAAAUGGAUGAGGCUUCAGUGCUUUGGCCACAGGCUCCAUCUAGCAAUAGAGAACGCAAUGAGUAAUCAUCGAAUUGACCAUGCAGUAGGCCUCUGCAAAAAGCUGGUGACCAGUUUCUCCUACAGCUGGAGGCAUAAAAAGGAGGUAGCAGCACAAAGGGAGUUGAAGCUUCCAGAGCAUGCUCUAAAGACCGAGUGCCCCACAAGGUGGGGAUCGAGGCAGGCUAUGAUUGAAAGAGUUCAGGAGCAGCAGAGGGCCAUUGCUCAUGUCUUGUCUACUGACAGAAAGGCCAGAUACCUCACCCCCACAUGGCAGGACACUGACAUCCUGGAGGCCAUCAACAAAUCCGUCUGCCUUCUGACUGAGUUUACUGAUGCGCUUUCCAGUGAAAAAUAUGUCAGUGUGUCCUUUGUAAAACCAGUACUCCACCUUUUCGGCUCCUCUAUCCUGAAAGUGAAGGAUGAUGAUCCAGACCUAACAUGCACCAUCAAGACCAAAAUCCUGAGCUACCUGGAAGAAAAAUAAAAGGACCCUCUGACACAGGAACUGCUUGACAUGGCCUCUGCUCCUGAACCCGUGGUACAAGCUCAGAUAUGUGCGUAAAGAAAAUGUUGCACCAAUAUAAGCCAGACUUACUUCUCAGAUGGCUAGGACUGCACCUGCAGACAUGGUUAUAAUUUACCAUACUUUUUUCAAGAAGAUGGGCCCAACUGAUCCCCAUGUUGAGACUGCUGAGAAUGCACCCACUUUAAAGAAAGAAAAGACCUAGGGGAGCUUCUACAAGACCACUGAGGGAACCACACCAAGACUCUCACCCUCACCUUCUACAGUCCUACCUACAAUUAGACAACAUUGACAGUGAGGAGGACCCACUGCACUGGUGGAGGGCACACCAGAGACUUUAUCCAAUACUCUUGAAACUAGCAAAAAAGUACUUGUGCAUUCCAGCCAGAAGUUCCUCUUCAGAGAGGGUUUUUAGCACUGGGGGAAAUAUAGGGGGAAAGGCUCUGGGUUACUGAUUGGAAGGUCAGAGGUUCAAGGCCCAGAACUGCAAAGCUGCCACUGUUGGGCCCUUGAGCAAGGCCCUUAACUCUCUCUGCUCCAGGGGCACCGUACCAUGGCUGAACCUGCGCUCUGACCCCAACCUCCUAACAUGCUGUUCAAAUUUCACUGUGCUGUAAUGUAUAUGUGACCAGUAAAGACCCAUCAUAUUUCCUUUUCUGCAUAGGCCUGAAUUUUUUUUCAUUUGGUUGCAUAUUGUUAUAUUUGAUUGCAUAUUUUCAUUUGGUUGAUGGCAUAUUUAUUUUUACUUAUCCUAUAUUUUGGGUACAAUUUUAUUUAUAUUUUGCUUCAACGAGAUGAUGUGCUUUAAGGACCAGUCUAAUUUGAUGCAAAGAUUUGUACAU